rnacentral:rRNA from 1 species
GACGAACGCUGGCGGCGUGCUUAACACAUGCAAGUCGAACGAAGUGGCGAACGGGUGCGUAAUGCCUAGGAAUCUGCAUGGUAGUGGGGGAAAACGUCCGGAAACGGGCGCUAAUACCGCAUACUAUCAGAUGAGCCUAGGUCGGAUGAGUUAGUUGGUGGGGUAAAGGCCUACCAAGGCGACGAUCCGUAACUGGUCUGAGAGGAUGAUCAGUCACACUAGAACUGAGACACGGUCCAAACUCCUACGGGAGGCAGCAGUGGGGAAUAUUGGACAAUGGGCGAAAGCCUGAUCCAGCCAUGCCGCGUGUGUGAAGAAGUUCUUCGGAUUGUAAAGCACUUUAAGUUGGGAGGCGUUACCAACAGAAUAAGCACCGGCUAACUUCGUGCCAGCAGCCGCGGUAAUAC